rnacentral:rRNA from 1 species
UACGUAGGUGGCAAGCGAUACUCGGAAUCACUAGGCGUAAAGCGCAGGUAGGCGGUUCGGUAAGUCUUUUGUGAAAGCUCCUGGCUCAACUGGGAGAGGUCAAGGGAAACUACCGGACUAGAGUGUGGUAGGGGAUACUGGAAUUCCUGGUGUAGCGGUGAAAUGCGCAGAUAUCUGGAGGAACACCGGUGGCGAAGGCGGCAUCCUGGACCGACACUGACGCUGAGGAGCGAAAGCCAGGGGAGCGAACGGG